UACGUAGGGUGCAAGCGUUGUCCGGAAUUAUUGGGCGUAAAGAGCUCGUAGGCGGUUUGUUGCGUCGGCCGUGAAAACUUGGGGCUUAACCCCGAGCCUGCGGUCGAUACGGGCAGACUUGAGUUCGGCAGGGGAGACUGGAAUUCCUGGUGUAGCGGUGAAAUGCGCGGAUAUCAGGAGGAACACCGGUGGCGAAGGCGGGUCUCUGGGCCGAUACUGACGCUGAGGAGCGAAAGCGUGGGGAGCGAACAGG
rnacentral:rRNA from 1 species